GGGUGAGUAACGCGUGGGUGACCUGCCUUCGAGUGGGGGAUAACGUUCCGAAAGGGACGCUAAUACCGCAUAACAUCCUGCCUUUGAACAGGCGGUGAUCAAAGCUGGGGAUCGCAAGACCUAGCGCUGGAAGAGGGGCCCGCGUCCGAUUAGCUAGUUGGUGGGGUAACGGCCUACCAAGGCGACGAUCGGUAGCCGGCCUGAGAGGGCGGACGGCCACACUGGGACUGAGACACGGCCCAGACUCCUACGGGAGGCAGCAGUGGGGAAUUGUUCGCAAUGGGCGCAAGCCUGACGACGCAACGCCGCGUGGAGGAUGAAGAUCUUCGGGUCGUAAACUCCUUUCGAUUGGGACGAACGGUCUCCGGGUGAACAAUCCGGAGGCGUGACGGUACCGAGAGAAGAAGCCCCGGCUAACUCCGUGCCAGCAGCCGCGGUAAUACGGGGGGGGCAAGCGUUGUUCGGAAUUACUGGGCGUAAAGGGCUCGUAGGCGGCCAACUAAGUCAGACGUGAAAUCCCUCGGCUUAACCGGGGAACUGCGUCUGAUACUGGAUGGCUUGAAUCCGGGAGAGGGAUGCGGAAUUCCAGGUGUAGCGGUGAAAUGCGUAGAUAUCUGGAGGAACACCGGUGGCGAAGGCGGCAUCCUGGACCGGCAUUGACGCUGAGGAGCGAAAGCCAGGGGAGCAAACGGGAUUAGAUACCCCGGUAGUCCUGGCCCUAAACGAUGAAUGCUUGGUGUGACGGGUAUCGAUCCCUGUCGUGCCGAAGCUAACGCAUUAAGCAUUCCGCCUGGGGAGUACGGUCGCAAGGCUGAAACUCAAGGGAAUUGACGGGGGCCCGCACAAGCGGUGGAGCAUGUGGUUCAAUUCGACGCAACGCGAAGAA
rnacentral:rRNA from 1 species